UUAAGUAAGGAAGGGCGUACGGCGAAUGCCUGGCCACUCGAAACUGAAGAAGGACGCGCCAAACUGCGAAAAGCUCCGUGAAGCUGUAAGGAAGCGAAGAAGCGGAGGUGUCCGAAUGGGGGAACCCGGCAGCAGACAUGAGCUGUCAUCUGCAGGUGAAUACAUGGCCUGCAAGAGAGGUACCCGGCGAACUGAAACAUCUAAGUAGCCGGAGGAAAAGAAAACAACAGUGAUUCCCUGAGUAGCGGCGAGCGAAAGGGGAGAAGCCCAAACCGGUCCAAGGACCGGGGUUGAAGGACCAUGAUAUGGCAAGAGAGAGGAUAGAAGAACGGGAUCGAAAGCCCGGCCGAAGAAGGUGCAAGCCCUGUAAUUGAAAUCCGAUCGAAGCCUAAUGGGAUCCUGAGUACGGCGAGACACGAGGAAUCUUGUCGGAAGCAGGCGGGACCAUCCGCCAAGGCUAAAUAUAAACGAGUGAGCGAUAGUGAACCAGUACCGUGAGGGAAAGGUGAAAAGAACCGCGGGAGCGGAGUGAAAGAGAACCUGAAACCGUAUGCCUACAAGAAGUCAGAGCCCGUUAAGGGGUGAUGGCGUGCCUUUUGUAGAAUGAACCGGCGAGUUGCGACAGACUGCGAGGUUAAGGAGGAAAGACCGGAGCCGAAGCGAAAGCGAGUCUUAAUAGGGCGAAAGUAGGAUGUUGCAGACCCGAAACCGGGUGAUCUAGCCAUGAGCAGGUUGAAGUUGAGGUGAAACUCAAUGGAGGACCGAACCGACUACCGUUGAAAAGUUAGCGGAUGACUUGUGGCUAGGGGAGAAAUUCCAAUCGAACCCGGAGAUAGCUGGUUCUCCCCGAAAUAGCUUUAGGGCUAGCGUCGGAAAGAACCUUAGUGAAGGUAGAGCACUGAAUGUGUGAUGGCCCCAUCCCGGGGUACUGAAUACAAUCAAACUGCGAAUGUCAUUAAGGAUGUCCGGCAGUCAGACUGUGAGUGAUAAGGUCCAUGGUCAAGAGGGAAACAGCCCAGACCGCCAGUUAAGGUCCCAAAAUACAGGCUAAGUGGAAAAGGAUGUGGGGAUGCCCAGACAACUAGGAGGUUGGCUCAGAAGCAGCCAUCCUUUAAAGAGUGCGUAACAGCUCACUAGUCGAGUGACCCUGCGCCGAAAAUGUACCGGGGCUAAGCCUGAUACCGAAACUGCGGAUUGUAGGAAACUAUAGUGGUAGGGGAGCGUUGUAUACGAGUAGAAGCCGUACCGUGAGGAGCGGUGGAUUGUAUAGAAGUGAGAAUGCCGGUGUGAGUAGCGAGAUGUAGGUGAGAAUCCUACACACCGAAAGCCCAAGGAUUCCAGGGGAAGGUUCGUCCGCCCUGGGUAAGUCGGGACCUAACGCGAGGCCGAAAGGCGUAGUGGAUGGAAAGCAGGCGAAAGAUUCCUGCACCCGUAUAUGGAGCGAAGGAGUGACGGAGACGGAUAGUGUGACCCUCUUAAUGGAUUGAGGGCGAAGCGAAGCGGCUGGUUACCAGGCAAAUCCGGUAACCAUAAGGCUAGAGCGUGAGAGGUAAGCGAAAUCUUCGGAAAGUAGCGAAGCACAUGAUGACGGCUUCCAGGAAAAGCUUCUGGCAAUGCAUAUGCGGCCCGUACCAAAACCGACACAGGUGGGCAGGGAGAGAAUCCCGAGGUGAGCGAGAGAACUGUUGCCAAGGAACUCGGCAAAAUGACUCCGUAAGUUAGCGAGAAGGAGUGCUUAAGCAAUUAAGCCGCAGUGAAGAGGCCCAAGCGACUGUUUAACUAAAACACAGCUCUCUGCGAAGUCGCAAGACGAAGUAUAGGGGGUGACACCUGCCCGGUGCUGGAAGGUUAAGAGGAUCUGUUAAGAGCGAUCUGAAGCAGUGAUCCGAAGCCCCAGUGAACGGCGGCCGUAACUAUAACGGUCCUAAGGUAGCGAAAUUCCUUGUCAGGUAAG
rnacentral:rRNA from 1 species